CCCCUCUCAGGGUCGCACCUGGAGAGUUCUCAGUACUCUACCAGUCUCGGCUAGGGGAGGAAGAGUCAAGCCGAGGAAUAUCCAUUCCGUUUCUAGUUUGGGCAGUGGCUAGCCAGGGGAAGGCAAUCUGCUGCAAGU